rnacentral:rRNA from 1 species
CUACGGGACGCUCCAGUGGGGAAUAUUGCACAAUGGGCGCAAGCCUGAUGCAGCCAUGCCGCGUGUAUGAAGAAGGCCUUCGGGUUGUCAAGUACUUUCAGCGGGGAGGAAGGGAGUAAAGUUAAUACCUUUGCUCAUUGACGUUACCCGCAGAAGAAGCACCGGCUAACUCCGUGCCAGCAGCCGCGGUAAUACGGAGGGUGCAAGCGUUAAUCGGAAUUACUGGGCGUAAAGCGCACGCAGGCGGUUUGUUAAGUCAGACGUGAAAUCCCCGGGCUCAACCUGGGAACUGCAUCUGAUACUGGCAAGCUUGAGUCUCGUAGAGGGGGGUAGAAUUCCAGGUGUAGCGGUGAAAUGCGUAGAGAUCUGGAGGAAUACCGGUGGCGAAGGCGGCCCCCUGGACGAAGACUGACGCUCAGGUGCGAAAGCGUGGGGAGCAAACAGGAUUAGAUACCCGCGUAGUC